rnacentral:rRNA from 1 species
GAUCCUGGUUCAGGACGAACGCUGGCGGCGUGCUUAACACAUGCAAGUCGAACGAGAAUCUAAUGACGGAGUUUUCGGACAACUGAUUUAGAGGACAGUGGCGGACUGGUGAGUAACGCGUGAGGAACCUGCCUUUCAGAGGGGGACAACGAGUUGGAAACGACUGCUAAUACCGCAUGAUGUGUUAACUGGGACAUCCUGGAUACACCAAAGAUUUAUCGCUGAAAGAUGGCCUCGCGU